AAUAAAUCAAUUUUUCACUUUUUAGCUUUAAUUUUUGACUCUUCGUCUUAUUAAAAAUUUUUUACGAUUAAUAUUUUUAUUUUUAUUAAAUGAUAAAUUAUAAAUAGUAUUUUACGUAUGACUAAUUUUUUUUAAUUUCCUAAAAAAUUUUAAGACGAAUGGUCAAACGUUGGACACGGAAACCGAUAACGCACGCAGC
rnacentral:pre_miRNA from 1 species